rnacentral:rRNA from 1 species
GAUUUCUGGUACGGCGCACUUGGCCCGUCUCGGUUACGAGGUUGAGUGCCGGUGUGCGCCUGCCAUCCUUCUAGAGUACGACUCUCCCUUCAUUGGGUUGGGCCGGAAUCUAGAUCAUUUACUUUGAAAAAAUUAGAGUGUUUAAAGCAGGCUUACGCUAUGAAUACAUUAGCAUGGAAUAAUAAUUUAGGACUUUGGUCUUAUUUUGUUGGUUUCUAGGACUAAAGUAAUGAUUGAUAGGGAUAGUUGGGGGUGCUAGUAUUCAGCGGCCAGAGGUGAAAUUCUUGGAUUCGCUGAAGACUAACUUAUGCGAAAGCAUU